CGUGUAGGCGGCUGGCUAAGUCUGGUGUGAAAGCCCGGGGCUCACCCCCGGAAGUGCGCUGGAAACUAGUCAGCUAGAGUAUGGGAGAGGGAAGUGGAAUUCCUGGUGUAGCGGUGAAAUGCGUAGAUAUCAGGAGGAACACCGGCGGCGAAGGCGGCUUCCUGGACCAAUUCUGACGCUGAGACGCGAAAGCGUGGGGAGCAAACAGGAUUAGAUACCCGAGUAGUCC
rnacentral:rRNA from 1 species